UGUCGGGUAGUUUAAUGGUAGAACGCUUGGUUCUGGCCCAAGUAGUCGGGGUUCGAAUCCCUGCCCGACAG
rnacentral:tRNA from 1 species